AACGAACGCUGGCGGCAUGCCUAACACAUGCAAGUCGAACGAGACCUUCGGGUCUAGUGUCGCACGGGUGCGUAACGCGUGGGAAUCUGCCCUUGGGUUCGGAAUAACAGUGGGAAACGACUGCUAAUACCGGAUGAUGACGUAAGUCCAAAGAUUUAUCGCCCCAGGAUGAGCCCGCGUAGGAUUAGCUAGUUGGUGAGGUAAAGGCUCACCAAGGCGUCGAUCCUUAGCUGGUCUGAGAGGAUGAUCAGCCACACUGGUACUGAGACACGGCCCAGACUCCUACGGGAGGCAGCAGUGGGGAAUAUUGGACAAUGGGCGAAAGCCUGAUCCAGCAAUGCCGCGUAAGUGAUGAAGGCCUUAGGGUUGUAAAGCUCUUUUAACCGCGCUGAUAAUGACAGUACCGGGAGAAUAAGCUCCGGCUAACUCCGUG
rnacentral:rRNA from 1 species